GACGAACGCUGGCGGCGUGCUUAACACAUGCAAGUCGAACGGCAAGGCCCUGCUUUUGUGGGGUGCUCGAGUGGCGAACGGGUGAGUAACAAGUGAGUAACCUGCCCUUGACUUUGGGAUAACUUCUGGUAACUGGGGCUAAUACCGGAUAGGAGCUCCUGCUGCAUGGAGGGGGUUGGAAAGUUUCGGCGGUUGGGGAUGGACUCGCGGCUUAUCAGCUUGUUGGUGGGGUAGUGGCUUACCAAGGCUUUGACGGGUAGCCGGCCUGAGAGGGUGACCGGCCACAAUGGGACUGAGAUACGGCCCAGACUCCUACGGGAGGCAGCAGUGGGGAAUAUUGCACAAUGGGCGGAAGCCUGAUGCAGCAACGCCGCGUGCGGGAUGACGGCCUUCGGGUUGUAAACCGCUUUCGCCUGUGACGAAGCGUGAGUGACGGUAAUGGGUAAAGAAGCACCGGCUAACUACGUG
rnacentral:rRNA from 1 species